rnacentral:rRNA from 1 species
GAUGAACGCUAGCUACAGGCUUAACACAUGCAAGUCGAGGGGAAACGACAUCGAAAGCUUGCUUUUGAUGGGCGUCGACCGGCGCACGGGUGAGUAAUGCGUAUCCAACCUGCCCACCACUUGGGGAUAACCUUGCGAAAGUAAGACUAAUACCCAAUGACGUCUCUAGAAGACAUCUGAAAGAGAUUAAAGAUUUAUCGGUGAUGGAUGGGGAUGCGUCUGAUUAGCUUGUUGGCGGGGUAACGGCCCACCAAGGCGACGAUCAGUAGGGGUUCUGAGAGGAAGGUCCCCCACAUUGGAACUGAGACACGGUCCAAACUCCUACGGGAGGCAGCAGUGAGGAAUAUUGGUCAAUGGACGAGAGUCUGAACCAGCCAAGUAGCGUGCAGGAUGACGGCCCUAUGGGUUGUAAACUGCUUUUAUAAGGGAAUAAAGUGAGUCUCGUGAGACUUUUUGCAUGUACCUUAUGAAUAAGGACCGGCUAAUUCCGUG